rnacentral:miRNA from 1 species
UGUACGUGUGUGCGUACAUGCACAUGCACGCAUGCACACAGGCACAUACACCCAUGCUCGCAUAUACAUAUGCACGCAUGCACACACCACA